UGGGGAAUUUUGGACAAUGGGCGAAAGCCUGAUCCAGCAAUGCCGCGUGUGUGAAGAAGGCCUUCGGGUUGUAAAGCACUUUUGUCCGGAAAGAAAUCCUUGGCUCUAAUACAGUCGGGGGAUGACGGUACCGGAAGAAUAAGCACCGGCUAACUACGUGCCAGCAGCCGCGGUAAUACGUAGGGUGCAAGCGUUAAUCGGAAUUACUGGGCGUAAAGCGUGCGCAGGCGGUUUGCUAAGACCGAUGUGAAAUCCCCGGGCUCAACCUGGGAACUGCAUUGGUGACUGGCAGGCUAGAGUAUGGCAGAGGGGGGUAGAAUUCCACGUGUAGCAGUGAAAUGCGUAGAGAUGUGGAGGAAUACCGAUGGCCGAAGGCAGCCCCCUGGGCCAAUACUGACGCUCAUGCACGAAAGCGUGGGGAGCAAACAGGAUUAGAUACCCUGGUAGUCCACGCCCUAAAACGAUGUCAACUAGUUGUUGGGGAUUCAUUUCCUAGUAACGUAGCUAACGCGUGAAGUUGACCGCCUGGGGAGUACGGUCGCAAGAUUAAAACUCAAAUGAAUUGACGGGGUCAUAGCUGUUUCCU
rnacentral:rRNA from 1 species